rnacentral:misc_RNA from 1 species
GGUGGUCACGGUGGGCCCACCAAACUGGCUAGAGUUAGGAGUAGGGUUAGGAUUAGGGGUGGGGUUAGGGCUCGGGAUAGGAUUAGUAUUAGAAUUAGAAUUAGGAAUAGGAUUUGGGUUAGGGCUCAGGUUAGAGAUUGAAUUUUCAGUUCUGGGGGCCACUCUGAAGUUCUCUGGAGCUUCAUCUCCCUUCACUGUCAGCCCCAAACUUAUUCCCUCCUUUGCCUCCAUUUCUCAUAGAUCACUUAAAACCCCUAAAACCCUAAA